ACGGCUCAGUAACACGUAGGUAACCUACCCUUCGGACGGGCACAACCCCGGGAAACUGGGGCUAAUUCCCGAUAGGUACCCCCUUCUGGAAUGUGGGGAUAUCCAAAGCUCCGGCGCCGAAGGAUGGGCCUGCGGCCGAUUAGGUUGUUGGCGGGGUAACAGCCCACCAAGCCGACGAUCGGUACGGGCAGUGAGAGCUGUAGCCCGGAGAUGGGGACUGAGACAAGGCCCCAGGCCCUACGGGGCGCAGCAGGCGCGAAACCUUCACAAUGCACGAAAGUGUGAUGAGGGUACUCCGAGUGCGCAUACAUUGUAUGUGCUUUUCUGCAGCGUAAAUAGUUGCAGGAAUAAGGGCUGGGCAAGACCGGUGCCAGCAGCCGCGGUAAUAC
rnacentral:rRNA from 1 species